rnacentral:lncRNA from 1 species
GCCGCCACUCGAUGACUCCUAAAAGCUACUGCUCUCAUUCGUUCUUAUAAUUUUGCCUUGCCAAAAAUCUUCUCUUUUCUUUUGUCUCUUGAUUGUGUUGGUUUUAAAUACAAGUACUGCAUUUUGUUGCCUAUUGCAUCGUUUAACAAUCAUUUGAGUUAGCAAGUUUGAGGUCGGAGUUCGGUAGAUCCAAAGCCAACGCCUCAGUUCGCUGCCCUAAAAUAGGUCAGUGAUUAUUCUCCUCUUUUCGAUUCCGCAGUUCUAAGCAUGUUUAUAAUCUGCACAUAUUGGAAAAAAUGUUGUUACUUCCCUUUCGUUUCUUUUUAGACAUUUGAAGUGCUUCUUAUUAACCUCUGAUGUAAUUAAUUUGACUUAUCAUUCUAUGUUCGUUGUUUGUUAGGAAUCAUGAGUUAAGUAUUCUUAGUUGUUGUCAAUAUAUUAGAAACCAUGUUUAGAACUUUUGCAUUUUAAACUAAAUCGUUAAUUGAUAGCAUGUCCAUAUGUAUUCAUAACUGUGUUCUGAUUAUCACCCUUAAAAUGGUUAGGACGUGUGUGUUAGAACUUAUAAGAAUUGUUGUAAAAGUAUAGGAUACGGUUGUCUGAUCCAUGAGAUUGAAGCUGAUUAAUGCAGUAGUCAUCAUCUCGCUAUUCAGUAUAGGAUACGGUUGUCUGUUCCAUGAGAUUGAAGCUGAUUAAUGCAGUAGUCAUCAUCUCGCUAUUCAGUAUAGGAUACGGUUGUCUAUUUAAUUAGAUGCUCUUCAGUUAAGUCCUAAUGUUAACUAAUUAUGUAAAUUCCAUAUGCACUUUCGAGUCUGAUACAUGAAACCUAUGUAUUUGUUUAAAGUAUUGGUAGUCUGAAACAAGUUGUCAGUGACAUCUCGCUAUUCAGUCAUGCCUAUAGGAUUUAUAAUACUACUAAAUCUGAUAUUAACAAAUAACGAAUGCUUGCAGUUUAGCUCUAAAUGUUAUAGAAAGUUUUCUUUGUGAUAUAUGGGCAUAUAUCACAAAGAAUUGUAUGGGCAUAUAUCAGGUAAUUAAUCAGGUGUUUGAAAGAAUUGUAUGGGUUUACAUUGAGUCUGCAUUCUGUCCCCCUGGUCAUUUAUUUGUCGAUAUGUAUCAGGUUGGGAGAAUUUUUUUGUUCUAUCUAAGUAAUUAAAUGUUAUAUGGAGUAGCAGUAGUUUGUUCUAAUUGUUUGGAAGCAUGUUAAAUUAGCACGUUUGUAAAGGGUACCUUUAAGACUUCUUAGUGGUAGAAAUCAUGUCCAGCUCUUUCCUUGGAAUUUGGGUAAUUACAAGUAAUUCUCUAGUUCUGCAAAUGCAUUCUUUCUUCAUCUAAUUACCACUAACAUUGGCAGUAUGUAUCCUAUGUGUAGUUUUAAAAUUUCUUUCAGAUCUCUAUAAUCCUUAGAACACUCACCUAUAGUCAACUAUUCAUCUUUCUGCUUUGCUAUUUUAUUUUUCGUGCAUAUUAAGGGUUAAGCUCUCUUCUAAUUUCACCCUUUACUUUAUUUGGCAUGUAAUGCUGGAGUUAUAAAGAGUCUCAAAGUGAGAAUCUCCACCACCAUCACAUGGAGUCAGUCACAUUCCAUCUACUAGAGUUACCGGAUAGCAAGAAAGAAACAAGUGAAACGCUUGGGGCGCCACUUUUGCUAUUCUUUUUAUCUAUCUUUAUUAUUAUUAAUUUAUUUCUAUAUUUGGAGUUUAUUUUAGUUUGGGGUUCUAGUACUUAUAUAAUCUUUAGGAAUUUAAGAUCACUAAUUUAAUAACCUUUUCAUCAAUUUACCAAUGCUUAAGCAUUUUCUAAUAAGC